rnacentral:rRNA from 1 species
AUGUUCCCACUCCCACUGCUCUUAUGCCCUCUUUCUUCCACUUCCCGGCUCACCUUCAAGCUCUCAAGUUAUCUAAAUAUGUGGACACAUGUCGAUUGUUUCUCCAACAAAUCUACUGAUGCAAUCCUAAAGGAAGGGGAUGGAGUGCACAAGAACGGCUAUAGGAGGGUGACGCUCUACUUGGCCAUAUUCGAUAAUGUCCUGCAUCGGUUGCGCUUCUCAAAGUUCAUCUCUGUUAUCCGUGCGGACAUUCCAGAGAGUACAUGUACAAGGUGUUUGACAAAUAUGCUGUCAGAAGCUCUUAUUGACGGAUUGCUUCUGAAUGGGAGGCUAACAUUCGGCCAACUUGUGGGACGAACAAUUUCUAAAGUGCCACAAGGUGAUGAUCAGCAAAUGACAUCAUCAAUAAAUGGUAUUUUGGAGAAACUAGGACAAAAGGAAGGAGGUCCAGCAAUGACACUUGAUCAGAUAGCACCAGUUCUGGAGGAUUUACAGUGUACUACUUCCAGUGAGGACCUGGAAGCAUUUACUUUUGGCUAUUGGUCACACAUGGUUGUGCAGUUGAGACAGAUCAAGUACAUGGAUCACACAAGGUUGUGCUAUUGGUCACACAAGAUUAUUGCCACAACAAUUCUUGACAAGCAGAUUGUUCAUUCAACUUUGUACAAACUAUGUAAUGGGAGUCACAUAGAUACAGAGCAAACAAAAAGGAAGAGGAAGGAGCGCAUAAGGACGAUAGGAAUGGGAGGCAUCGGGAAAUAUCUCCACCUCAACACAAGAGGUGGAGAACAGCUAAGUUAG